rnacentral:rRNA from 1 species
AUCGAUGAAGAACGCAGCGAAAUGCGAUAAGUAAUGUGAAUUGCAGAAUUCAGUGAAUCAUCGAAUCUUUGAACGCACAUUGCGCCCUUUGGUAUUCCGAAGGGCAUGCCUGUUCGAGCGUCAUUAUCAACCCUCAAGCUCGGCUUGUUAUUGGGCUCUUAUCGUUAAAGAUAGGCCCGAAAGAUAAUGGCGGCGUCAUAAAUGACCCCAGAUGCAGCGAGCUUAUAGCAUACAUCGAAAGGUUUUUAUGGCCCGGCCUUAACGAGAAGCAAUUCUCAAUUUAUUUAAAGGUUGACCUCGGAUCAGGUAGGAAUACCCGCUGAACUUAAGCAUAUCAAUAAGCGGAGGAAAAGAAACCAACAGGGAUUACCUUAGUAACGGCGAGUGAAGCGGUAAUAGCUCAAAUUUGAAAUCUGGCUCUAGGGUCCGAGUUGUAAUUUGUAGAGGAUGUUUCGGGUGCGCCCGCAGUUUAAGUUCCUUGGAACAGGACGUCAUAGAGGGUGAGAAUCCCGUCUUGAACUGUACGGCAAGUCCAUGUGAAACUCCUUCGACGAGUCGAGUUGUUUGGGAAUGCAGCUCAAAAUGGGAGGUAAAUUUCUUCUAAAGCUAAAUAUUGGCCAGAGACCGAUAGCGCACAAGUAGAGUGAUCGAAAGAUGAAAAGCACUUUGAAAAGAGAGUUAAACAGUAUGUGAAAUUGUUAAAAGGGAAGCGUUUGCAACCAGACUUGUUUCUAACAGUUCUACCGCAGUUCUCUGUGGCUUAUUCUGUUAGUCCAGGCCAGCAUCAGUUUGGGUGGCUCGUUAAAGACUUUGGGAAUGUAUCUACUCCUUCGGGUGUAGACUUAUAGCCCAUUGUGUAAUAGGGUCUACCUGGACUGAGGUACGCGCAUUGCUCGGAUGCUGGCGUAAUGGUUGUAAACGACCCGUCUUGAAACACGG